UACGAAGGGGGCUAGCGUUGCUCGGAAUCGCUGGGCGUAAAGGGUGCGUAGGCGGGUCUUUAAGUCAGGGGUGAAAUCCUGGAGCUCAACUCCAGAACUGCCUUUGAUACUGAGGAUCUUGAGUUCGGGAGAGGUGAGUGGAACUGCGAGUGUAGAGGUGAAAUUCGUAGAUAUUCGCAAGAACACCAGUGGCGAAGGCGGCUCACUGGCCCGAUACUGACGCUGAGGCGCGAAAGCGUGGGGAGCAAACAGG
rnacentral:rRNA from 1 species